rnacentral:lncRNA from 1 species
UCAGUUUGAUUUUGUUCAAGUGUCUUAGUAAUUAGUUUCCUUAAAAAAUUUGGUUGGACUAUCAAUUUAAAAAUUGGCAUCCACAAUAACAACAAAAAAGUAUAUAAAAAACAGUGAAUCUCGCCCGCAACAAUGUAAUAACGAACGCACUAGAAAAAAAAAAAAAUUUGGCUAUGGAGCUCAAAUAAAGAAGUAUGAAGAUGUUACCUCGAUUCUCAAAAGACUCAUUGAGCCCAAAACAUAAUAAUUCUCUAUAUGAAUCCUAAACCUUAUACAACAUAUCUAGUAUUCAUAUUACAUAUGUGAGAACGUUUGAUAUUAAAAUAAC